CGCUAGCUGUAUGUGAAGAGUAUCUAUGACUGCUUGAUUCCGGUGGUCGAGACAUUAAUCAAAGUUGUUUACGGCAAUCAGAACACCUCCACCAGAAACCUUAUCGGAAUUGGUAGACGAUCGGUCGCAGCGGUAAGUUGUAAAAUAUUCGGGGAAUAUCAUUCGAUCAUUAAUCGAUGAAUCCAAAUUCGUUUCACAGAACGCAAACACAUCGUAGUCCCACUCGAGCGAUGACAAAAAAACGGUCUCGAGUCUUCUUCUGCUACGGAUACUAUUCAUAUUCUGGCAAACGAUUUGAUGACCGCGACAGAAAGUUGAUACUCGAAAGUGGCAAACUAUUGUUGGCGAAACGAAACCUGCAUUGUUGGAUCCGUACGCUGAGACAAGAAGGGAUUAGCAAUAGGCUGUUCGUUACUUGCUACAGUUUGGGC